CUACUUGACCAGAAAAUAUAUUUGAUGUGUCUCGUAAAAACAACUUAAAUGUAGCUCCAUAGACAUUUGAUAUCAUGGCGCACAAAUUUAACUCUCUAACUUUUCAAUCUUCAACAUUGAAUGUGUAUGCGUGGGGCUCGGUUACGGUGCAUAAGAAAAUCCUUAUGCACCAUGCAUAAAUCUAGAAAUGGUUUCUAUGAGUUGUACUCCAAAACCAUUAGAUGUACUUAAUGGUUUCUAGCAUCCUGAAUAAGGAUUUCCAACACCCUGCAUAAAAUUAUGCCAAAACCAUUUUGUUGUGGAAAUGGUUUCUGUGAGUUGUACUCCAAAACCAUUUCUGAAUUU
rnacentral:lncRNA from 1 species